AACACUACCAGUACCAAAAAGUUAUAGUUUUGUCGCAUUUUGGGGUCCUGAGCUCAUGUGGCUCGUCCAUUGAUCAGGUGUCACUGCUAGCUAUCAAAUAUAAUAUCAAUAAUAUAAUAAUGACCACAAUCUAUCUGACUUUCAUUUCAGGUCGUUAAACUUGCAGUGUUGACAUUAGUUUUAUCCUUGGUUUGAUAACAUCGAAUUAUAGUCUAGUACUUGUUCAGUUGUGACCCGGAGAUAGCCGGUACUUUAACUCUAAUGUACAACAAGUGAAAGUGAGUUUGACAGUUCUUACUACGUAUUACGUACCGGUAAUACGUUAGCUGGCUUGCGGUGAAGCUAUUGUUCUUAGUUAGCCUCGCUAUGACGUUCCGAGUUCCUUAUGAUGGGAUGGAUGUACAUAGACGAUCACUGAAGCAGACAAAAACGGGAAAAAAGGGGAGACAUUGCACUGGCGGAAUAAUUACCCAGCAUGUCACGUUUUCCUGUGAUGCUGCCCCUGAAAAUCAUUUAAAUUGAGCUGGUGGAAACAAUAAGUUGCGAUUGAUAAUAAAAA